AACGCACAUUGCGCCUAAGAGUAUUCUUUUAGGCAUGCUUGUUCGAGCGUCGUUUAAAAUCUAAGGCUUUGCCUUGCGUUGAUGGCUUGGGAGUUUCUCUCAACUGUCCAAAUAUGUUGGCAAUUGAAAUGACCGAUGCGCAGCGAAAUGCGAUUUGAAAGUCAUGGAAUGUUCGCCAAUCCAACCAUUUUUUUUUGUUCGACCUCGGAUCAAGUAAGAUUACCCGCUGAACUUAA
rnacentral:misc_RNA from 1 species